GACGAACGCUGGCGGCGUGCUUAACGCAUGCAAGUCGAACGGAAAGGCCCUGCUUUUGUGGGGUGCUCGAGUGGCGAACGGGUGAGUAACACGUGAGUAACCUGCCCUUGACUUUGGGAUAACUUCAGGAAACUGGGGCUAAUACCGGAUAGGAGCUCCUGCUGCAUGGUGGGGGUUGGAAAGUUUCGGCGGUUGGGGAUGGACUCGCGGCUUAUCAGCUUGUUGGUGGGGUAGUGGCUUACCAAGGCUUUGACAGGUAGCCGGCCUGAGAGGGUGACCGGCCACAUUGGGACUGAGAUACGGCCCAGACUCCUACGGGAGGCAGCAGUGGGGAAUAUUGCACAAUGGGCGGAAGCCUGAUGCAGCAACGCCGCGUGCGGGAUGACGGCCUUCGGGUUGUAAACCGCUUUCGCCUGUGACGAAGCGUGAGUGACGGUAAUGGGUAAAGAAGCACCGGCUAACUACGUG
rnacentral:rRNA from 1 species